rnacentral:sRNA from 1 species
UGAAAAUGCCCUCCGAUGCGGGGCGAUCCGGGCCUAGACAAUCCAGAUCAUCCCGCACAGAAGGCACUUUCCCACUCACCGCGCCGAUCCAGCACCCAGUCAGUCCACGGAUCGAG